AACGCACGAGACCUGCGGACCUGCGGAAGGAUCAUUACAGAGUUGCAAAACUCCAAACCAUUGUGAACUUACCUUUGCCGUUGCUUCGGCGGGCGGCCCGGGUCCCGACCCGGCGCCCCCCGGCCCCGUCAGGGGCGCCCGCCGGAGGUAAACCAAACUCUUGAAUUGUAUGGCCUCUCUGAGUCUUCUGUACUGAAUAAGUCAAAACUUUCAACAAUGGAUCUCUAGAUCGGAAGAGCA
rnacentral:misc_RNA from 1 species